GCGUCGCUGGUGUAAGGAGGCGUAGCAUCCUGCCCGGAAAGCAGAGAGUGCAGGUUCAAAUCCUGUCUGGCGCA
rnacentral:tRNA from 1 species